rnacentral:rRNA from 1 species
UACGUAGGUGGCAAGCGUUGUCCGGAAUUAUUGGGCGUAAAGCGCGCGCAGGCGGCCUUUUAAGUCUGAUGUGAAAGCCCACGGCUCAACCGUGGAAGGUCAUUGGAAACUGAAAGGCUUGAGUACAGAAGAGGAAAGCGGAAUUCCACGUGUAGCGGUGAAAAUGCGUAGAGAUGUGGAGGAACACCAGUGGCGAAGGCGGCUUUCUGGUCUGUAACUGACGCUGAGGCGCGAAAGCGUGGGGAGCAAACAGG